UACGGAGGGUGCAAGCGUUAUCCGGAAUGAUUGGGCGUAAAGAGCUCGUAGGCGGUGUGUUACGUCGGCCGUGAAAACCUGCAGCUUAACUGUGGGCGUGCGGUCGAUACGGGCAUCACUGGAGUUCGGCAGGGGAGACUGGAAUUCCUGGUGUAGCGGUGAAAUGCGCAGAUAUCAGGAGGAACACCGGUGGCGAAGGCGGGUCUCUGGGCCGAUACUGACGCUGAGGAGCGAAAGCGUGGGGAGCGAACAGG
rnacentral:rRNA from 1 species